rnacentral:rRNA from 1 species
UAGGGAAUCUUCGGCAAUGGACGAAAGUCUGACCGAGCAACGCCGCGUGAGUGAAGAAGGUUUUCGGAUCGUAAAACUCUGUUGUUAGAGAAGAACAAGGACGUUAGUAACUGAACGUCCCAUGACGGUAUCUAACAAGAAAGCCACGGCUAACUACGUGCCAGCAGCCGCGGUAAUACGUAGGUGGCAAGCGUUGUCCGGAUUUAUUGGGCGUAAAGCGAGCGCAGGCGGUUUCUUAAGUCUGAUGUGAAAGCCCCCGGCUCAACCGGGGAGGGUCAUUGGAAACUGGGAGACUUGAGUGCAGAAGAGGAGAGUGGAAUUCCAUGUGUAGCGGUGAAAUGCGUAGAUAUAUGGAGGAACACCAGUGGCGAAGGCGGCUCUCUGGUCUGUAACUGACGCUGAGGCUCGAAAGCGUGGGGAGCAAACA